GCCGGGCAUGGUGGCGUGUGCCUGUAAUCCCAGCUACUCAGGAGGCUGAGGCAGGAGAAUCGCUUGAACCCAGGAUGCAGAGGUUGCAGUGAGCCCAGAUCGUGCCACUGCAAUCUAGCCUGGGUGACAGAGUGAGACUCAGCUCACU
rfam:Homo sapiens chromosome 8, GRCh38 reference primary assembly.